rnacentral:misc_RNA from 1 species
GUGAACUGGACAGUAAUUCAACCUGAUCUAUACUAAACAAUGAAGAGCGUUUUUUUCUACCAAUAAACCUUAGAGGUGAGGUAGAUGUAGCAACCACGUCAGUUUCUGGGCUUAAAGCGUGGUCAACGAGAAAGAAGCAGAACCCUGUAAUAGCUAAUUCUCGACGCGCUUUUCACACUUUUUCAUCACAGAUAAACCGCUUAUUAGGCGGUUUUAUACUUUAUAACUUUUUAUUCUUCUGAUAUUUAGCUCUAAACUUGCUAAACUAACCCAUAACAAAUAAAUC